GUCUUCACUUCAGCAGCACUUACACUAAAACCGAAACAUACAGAGAAGAUUGGCAUGGUCCCUGUGCAUGGAUGACAUGUACAUUUGUGAAGUGUUCUAUAUUUUU
ensembl:snRNA U6 U6 spliceosomal RNA